UACGUAGGUGGCAAGCGUUGUCCGGAUUUAUUGGGCGUAAAGCGAGUGCAGGCGGUCUUUUAAGUCUGAUGUGAAAGCCUUCGGCUUAACCGAAGAAGGGCAUCGGAAACUGGGAGACUUGAGUGCAGAAGAGGAGAGUGGAACUCCAUGUGUAGCGGUGAAAUGCGUAGAUAUAUGGAAGAACACCAGUGGCGAAGGCGGCUCUCUGGUCUGUAACUGACGCUGAGGCUCGAAAGCGUGGGUAGCAAACAGG
rnacentral:rRNA from 1 species